rnacentral:rRNA from 1 species
UACGUAGCAGCGAGCGUUGUUCGGAGUUACUGGGCGUAAAGAGUGCGUAGGCGGUUUUCUAAGUUUGGUGUGAAAUUCUCCCGGUCUCAACUGGGAGGGUGCGCCGAAGACUGGAAGGCUAGAGUAUGGGAGAGGUAAGCGGAAUUCCUGGUGUAGCGGUGAAAUGCGUAGAUAUACAGGAGGAACACCUGCGGUGUAGACGGCUUACUGGACCAUCACUGACGCUGAGGCACGAAAGCGUGGUA